AUUGAACGCUGGCGGCAGGCCUAACACAUGCAAGUCGAGCGGUAGCACAGAGAGCUUGCUCUCGGGUGACGAGCGGCGGACGGGUGAGUAAUGUCUGGGAAACUGCCUGAUGGAGGGGGAUAACUACUGGAAACGGUAGCUAAUACCGCAUAAUGUCGCAAGACCAAAGUGGGGGACCUUCGGGCCUCAUGCCAUCAGAUGUGCCCAGAUGGGAUUAGCUAGUAGGUGGGGUAACGGCUCACCUAGGCGACGAUCCCUAGCUGGUCUGAGAGGAUGACCAGCCACACUGGAACUGAGACACGGUCCAGACUCCUACGGGAGGCAGCAGUGGGGAAUAUUGCACAAUGGGCGCAAGCCUGAUCCAGCCAUGCCGCGUGAGUGAUGACGGCCUUAGGGUUGUAAAGCUCUUUUACCCGGGAAGAUAAUGACGGUACCGGGAGAAUAAGCCCCGGCUAACUUCGUGCCAGCAGCCGCGGUAAU
rnacentral:rRNA from 1 species